rnacentral:ncRNA from 2 species
CGUUCGCUGGGCGGUGGGGUCCGCCAUCAACCGUCACGUGUCCGCGUGGCCAAUGACUCCUGCCAGGGA